rnacentral:rRNA from 1 species
AGAGUUUGAUCAUGGCUCAGAUUGAACGCUGGCGGUAGGCUUAACACAUGCAAGUCGUGCGAGAAAGUAUCUUCGGAUAUGAGUAGAGCGGCGGACGGGUGAGUAACGCGUAGGAAUCUACCUAGUAGAAGGGGAUAGCCCGGGGAAACCCGGAUUAAUACCGUAUACCUCCUUCGGGAGAAAGAAGGCCUCUCUUUGAAGCUUUCGCUACUAGAUGAGCCUGCGUAAGAUUAGCUUGUUGGUGAGGUAAAGGCUCACCAAGGCGACGAUCUUUAGCUGGUCUGAGAGGACGAUCAGCCACAUUGGGACUGAGACACGGCCCAGACUCCUACGGGAGGCAGCAGUGGGGAAUAUUGGACAAUGGGCGCAAGCCUGAUCCAGCCAUACCGCGUGUGUGAAGAAGGCCUUCGGGUUGUAAAGCACUUUAAGCAGGGAGAAAAAGUUAUAAGUUAAUACCUUAUAACCCUGAUGUUACCUGCAGAAUAAGCACCGGCUAAUUCCGUGCCAGCAGCCGCGGUAAUACGGAAGGUGCAAGCGUUAAUCGGAAUUACUGGGCGUAAAGCGCGCGUAGGUGGUUUGUUAAGUUGGAUGUGAAAGCCCUGGGCUCAACCUAGGAACUGCAUCCAAAAACUAACUCACUAGAGUACGAUAGAGGGAGGUAGAAUUCAUAGUGUAGCGGU